AAGUCCAUGAUGAGGGCACUUCCUUAAAGGUCUUUGAAGCACUCUCAUGCCUCAUACAAUUUUUCUAUCUCACAUUGCCUAAAAAUGUUGAUCUCAUUCCUAAACUU